CGAAAGGUGCCACCUGGUCAGAUGGGUACAAAAGGGAAGGGAGGAGAAAGCGAGCAGCAGGUCGAAGCCAAGUCCUACACCGCAACUACGCCUCCCGCCUUUCUGUCCCCGUCUCUCUUCUAUCUUCAUGUAAAGUUGUCUACCGUCGACGAAGAAACAAGGGCGGAGGAAGAGAAGAAGAAGAAAGCUCGACCGCGUCGCCGGCCUCGUGCGCGGUGAAGGAACAGGUCGCCGGUCGCACGAGAGGAUUGCCUGUUGUGUACACGCCGAGGUGCCGGCCAGGAGGGACAGAGGAAAGGGAGAUGGGCGCCGGCGAGGGGAAGCAUGGGAAGGGGCUGGUGAGGAGCUGGGCGCAGAGGUACCUCAACCUCGGCUUCGUCGCCGGCUUCCUGCUCGUGCUCCUCGCCUACAUCGUCGUCACCCAGCAGUUCGUCAUCACCUCACCGGAAGCUGUGCCCACGAUGACGCCGCACCGGAAGCAGGCGAUCAGCGCUCCCGGCGCCGGCGAAACAGGGACGCCGGAGGCUCGAGUAGAGGACAAGGCGGAGACGAAACCUGUGGACGCUUCUUCCGGUGAUGAAACUCCAAAUGAGGAGGAGCAGCAGCAACAGCAACAGCAACAGCCGGAUGCGGAGCCGGAAUGGAAGAAGCCGGAAGACACGGUGGCGACGGAGCAAGAGCCCCCCAAAAGAGACGACACCGCUGCCGAACCGCUCGACAACGGCAAAGUGGUGUGCACCACGGAGGGCCCCUUCUCCGACACGUGCGACGUCUUCGGCAACGUCCGGACCAACGGCACGGCGCACACCGUCACCCUCGUCCCGGCGACCCAGACGGAGAGCCGGGAGUGGAAGAUCCAGCCCUACGCCCGCCGCACCAUGUCCGGCAUCUCGGAGGUCACGGUGACGCAGCUCGACUCGACCUCGGCGGAGUACCCGGCGCCGGCGUGCACGGUGACGCACAACAUACCGGGCAUCGUGUUCGCGCUCGGCGGCCUCACGGGCAACUACUUCCACGACUUCAGCGACGCGCUGGUGCCGCUGUUCAUCGCGUCGCGGCGGUACGGUGGUGAGGUCCAGCUCCUGGCCAGCAACAUCCAACCGUGGUGGCUCGGCAAGUACGAGGCCGUGGUGAGACGGCUGUCCAAGUACGACGUCGUGGACCUCGACCAUGACGAUCAGAUCCGGUGCUUCCCGAGCGUCACCGUCGGGCUCCGCAUGCACAAGGAGUUCGACAUCGUGCCGGAGCUGGUCCCCGGCGGCACACCCCUCUCCAUGGUCGACUUCACCGCCUUCCUCCGCGAGACAUACUCCCUGCCGCGCGUCGCGCCCGUCAGCUUGAUGAAGGGCAUCAGCCCGCCGGAGGACCAGGAGAAGAGGAAGCCGCGGCUGAUGCUGCUCCACCGUGGCCACUACCGGAAGUUCGUGAACGUGCCGGAGAUCGUGAAGGCGGCGGAGAAUGCCGGGUUCGAGGUGGCCAUAGCGGACCCGCGGUUCGACGUGCAGGUGGAGGAGCUGGGCCGGUCGGUGAACUCGUUCGACGUGCUGCUGGGCGUGCACGGCGCCGGGCUGACCAACGCAGUGUUCAUGCCCACAGGGGCGGUGGUGAUCCAGGUGGUGCCGUACGGCAAUCUUGAGCGGAUGGCGAAGGUGGACUUCGGCGACCCCGUGGCGGACAUGGGGCUCCGGUACCUCGAGUACAGCAUCACGGCGGAGGAGAGCACGCUGCUGGAGAUGCUGGGGCCGGACCACCCCGUGAUCAAGGACCCGGAGUCGGUGCACCGGAGCGGCUGGGACAAGGUCGCCGAGUACUACCUCGGCAAGCAGGACGUGCGCGUCGACGUGGAGCGCUUCGCGCCCACGCUCGCGUUGGCCAUCGAACAUCUCCGGCAGAAGUAGAAGAUUGCAUCGGCCACAGAGAAUUUGUUUUUUUUUGUUGGUACAAAUUCGGGGCAUUCUGCGGCCUCUGAAUUGGGUGGAGCAUACAUACAUAGAAUAAUUGCUGGUAUAUUGGUUGAUUUAUUUACCUCAAGUGAAUAGAAAAAUUAACUUGUUUCAAUA